rnacentral:misc_RNA from 1 species
UUUCCGUAGGUGAACCUGCGGAAGGAUCAUUAUUGAGGGCGUAUGGAUUAAUAACCCCUACGAACCCCCAAUCCUUUGUUUAUUGUCCCUUUGUGGUUUGCUUUGGGCAUUAGCUGUGGACUAAAGAGACUAUGAACCCUGUGAGGGGGGAAUAGAUUUUUCUUGGUCUCAUACAAAAAAAGCACUUGGUUGCCCAGAAGACUACCUAAAUUAAAAUUCAAUAAUCUUUGAUGUCUGAAAAAUUGUAUAAACAAGCAAAACUUUCAACAACGGAUCUCUUGGUUCCGGCAUCGAUGAAGAACGCAGCGAAAUGCGAUAAGUAAUGUGGACCGCAGUACUCAGCGACUCAUCGAAUCUUUGAACGCAUAUUGCGCCCCUUGGUAAACCCAAUGGGCACACCUGUUCGAGCGUCAUUGAAGAUGUACAGGUCGUGGCCAGACUUGGUAUUUGAACUUGUCUGCUUUAGGCAGAAGUUUUAAAGUUAGUGAUGGUUCAGAUAGGUGUUCCAACGUAGUAAUAAUUAAAUCGUUGGUAAGAAUGCUUUUCUAAAACUAGUCAAAAGCCAUAUGAUAUCCCAGGGCUUCUGCUUGCGGAAACCUGGUUGGACGUCCCAAAUAUUGACCUCGGAUCAGGUGAGGAUACCCGCUGAAUUUAA